AAGGGUAUAGCUCAUUGGUAGAGCACUGUGUUUAGCAUGCACAACGUCCUGGGUUCAAUUCCCCAGUACCUCCA
rnacentral:tRNA from 1 species